UCUCUCUCUCUCUGUUGCUCUAUCUGGGAAGUCGUGCGGUGGAACAAACCCCACUCUCGUCCCCUCACCGCUGAUUGUUCAAACGCCAUUUUUCCUUAAACCCCCCAAAAUCUACCCAAUCCCUCUGUAAAAUUUAGGGUUCAAAAACAUGUCCUGUCUUUUCCAAGCUCAGAUCCAGUCCAGCCAUGGAGUUUCCUGCUCUUUUUUUGAGUUUACUAAGCGGCGGUUUAUGCCUCGAAGGUUGAGAUACGGAAGCCAUAGCUGCCGUAAGGUUCACGAAGCUUCAAAUCGCUGUUCGUGAAGGAUUUGCCCGACUCGAAAGGCACCGUAGGAUUUUGUGCAUUGAGGUUGGGAAGAGGGAAUGAAGCAACUGGUCCGCUGAGCAUAGUUGUGUAUGUAAUACAUUGAUAUUUUGUAAAUUGAUCUGAUCUCUUCAAAUCAAUUUGGUUAGUAGAUUCAAUUUUCAAUUUCCAUCUCUUCAUCUUUCAGCUUUUUCUCUGUCCAUUGCCUUUCAAAUUGCAUGGAUUUGGUAAAUAUUAAAAAAUUGAGUAUAUCAUGGU